CAAUGGUUUGACGAUAAGAAAGCUGUCUCUUUUUACUAACUUUUGAAGUUAACUUAGAAGUGAAGAGACUUCUUUGAUUAAGCGGGACGAGAAGACCCCAUUGAGCUUUAGUAAAAGUGUUUUCAAAAAUCAUAAUUACUUUGGUUGGGGCAACUAUCUUUCUUUAUUAAACAAAGAUUUAUCAUUUUGAUUUAAUUCUUGUAAGAGCCUUAAUUUUGGGAAUAAUAAAAUAAGUUACCAUGGGGAUAACAGCGUAAUUUUUUUUGAGAGUUCUUAUUGACAAAAAAGUUUGCGACCUCGAUGUUG
rnacentral:rRNA from 1 species